AACGUAGGAGACAAACGUUAUCCGGAGUUACUGGGCGUAAAGGGCGUGUAGGUGGUAGUGUAAGUCUGGCGUGAAAUUUUUCGGCUUAACCGGGAAAGGUCGUCGGAUACUGCACAACUAGAGGACGGUAGAGGCGUGUGGAAUUCCAGGUGUAGCGGUGAAAUGCGUAGAUAUCUGGAGGAACACCGGUGGCGAAGGCGGCAUCCUGGACCGGCAUUGACGCUGAGGAGCGAAAGCCAGGGGAGCAAACGGG
rnacentral:rRNA from 1 species